UCUGCCUUGUCGGCAAGCGGUCCCGUUAGAGUGCCCAACUUAAUGCUGGCAACUAACGGCGAGGGUUGCGCUCGUUGCGGGACUUAACCCAACAUCUCACGACACGAGCUGACGACAGCCAUGCAACACCUGUCACCACGUCCCCGAAGGGAACUCCUAGUUUCCUAGGAUAGCGUGGGAUGUCAAGCCCAGGUAAGGUUUUUCGCGUUGCAUCGAAUUGAACCACAUACUCCACUGCUUGUGCGGGCCCCCGUCAAUUUCUUUGAGUUUUAACCUUGCGGCCGUACUCCCCAGGCGGAAUAUUUAACGCGUUAGCUACGGCACCGAGGGGGUAAGAUCCCCCGACACCUAAUAUUCAUCGUUUAUGGCGUGGACUAC
rnacentral:misc_RNA from 1 species